GAUGAACGCUAGCUACAGGCUUAACACAUGCAAGUCGAGGGGCAGCAUGGUCUUAGCUCGCUAAGACCGAUGGCGACCGGCGCACGGGUGAGUAACGCGUAUCCAACCUUCCGCAUACUCGGGAAUAGCCUUUCGAAAGAAAGAUUAAUGCCCGAUGGUUUCCCGAAUCCGCAUGAGAGCGGGAAUAAGAUUCAUUGGGUUGCGGUGGGGAUGCGUCCCAUUAGCUUGUUGGCGGGGUAACGGCCCACCAAGGCGACGAUGGGUAGGGGUUCUGAGAGGAAGGUCCCCCACAUUGGAACUGAGACACGGUCCAAACUCCUACGGGAGGCAGCAGUGAGGAAUAUUGGUCAAUGGGCGAGAGCCUGAACCAGCCAAGUAGCGUGAGGGAUGACCGCCCUACGGGUCGUAAACCUCUUUUAUAAGGGAAUAAAGAUAAGUACGCGUACUUAGUUGCAUGUACCUUAUGAAUAAGCAUCGGCUAACUCCGUGCCAGCCGCCGCAGUAA
rnacentral:rRNA from 1 species